UGAGGAAUAUUGCACAAUGGGCGCAAGCCUGAUGCAGCGACGCCGCGUGUGGGAUGAAGGGGCUACGCCUCGUAAACCACUGUAGCCCGGGACGAAAAACGCCUUAGAGGCGUUAGACGGUACCGGGAAAGUAAGGGUCGGCUAACUACGUGCCAGCAGCCGCGGUAAUACGUAGGACCCAAGCGUUGUCCGGAUUUACUGGGCGUAAAGCGCACGCAGGCGGCUCUGUUAGUCGGACGUGAAAGCUCUCGGCUUAACCGGGAGAGGCCGUUCGAUACUGCGGGGCUUGAGGUAGGGAGAGGAAUGCGGAAUUCCCGGUGUAGUGGUGGAAUGCGUAGAUAUCGGGAGGAACACCUGUGGCGAAAGCGGCAUUCUGGCCCUCACCUGACGCUGAGGUGCGAAAGCGUGAGGAGCAAACA
rnacentral:rRNA from 1 species